rnacentral:lncRNA from 1 species
GUCAUUUGGGUUUUUUUUUAAUGAUUUUUAAUUCGGGGAUUUUGUUGUUGUUGUUUUUAUUAACGAGGUUUUAAUUGAGGUUUUAAUGAGGGGUUUUUUUUUGAAUUUGGGGCUUGGGAUUCCUGUGAAUCCGUUUAAUUUCUGGUUGAUUUCCGCGGUUCGUUUCUUAAUUGCUUUAAUUGGCCGAUUUUCAGUUCCUCCCCCAUUUCCUUCCUCAGGCUUUGAUUCCGUUUCCGUUUCCGAUCCUUUAUUUCUUUUAUUAUUAUUAUAGUUUCUUUUAUUUCCUGUUUAGUUUCCUGUUAAUUUCCUGUUAAUUUCCUGUUAAUUUCCUGUUAAUUUCCUGUUAAUUUCCUUUUCUAUUUGUUUCCUUCUUUCUUUGUUUCCGUUUUGCUCCUUUUUUAUUUCCUUUUUUACUUAUUUCCUUCUUUAUUGAUUUCCCAUUUGAUUUCCUUUUAGAUUUCCUUUUAAUUUCUUUUUUAUUUCCUUUUUAUUUGUUUCCUUUUUAAUUUUUUCCCUUUUAAUUUCCCUUUUAAUUUCGUUUUUAAUUUCGUUUUUAAUUUCGUUUUUAAUUUAGUUUUUAAUUUUUUUUAUUAUUUUCUUUUAAUUUCCUUUUGAUUUCCUUUUAAUUUUCUUUAUUAUUUCCUUUAUUAUUUCCUUUUGAUUUCCUUUUGAUUUCCUUUUGAUUUCAAUUUCCUUUUGAUUUCCUUUUGAUUUCCUUUUGAUUUCCUUUUGAUUUCAAUUUCCUUUUAAUUUCCUUUUGAUUUCCUUUUGAUUUCAAUUUCCUUUUAAUUUCCUUUUGAUUUCCUUUUAAUUUCCUCUUUAUUUCCUCUUGAUUUCCUCUUGAUUUCCCUUUCAUUUCCCCUUAUCCCCCCCUCCCUUCUUGCUGGGCUGUCAGCUCUCCCAAUUAACGGCGCCGUUAAUCACCUCCCUUUUCUCCUUCCGUUACCUUGGGGCCGUUUGGGGCGUUUUUGGGGUUUCUGCUGCGGGAUUUUUGGGGUCCUUUGGUGCCUUGGGGCCGUUUGGGGCUUUUGGGCUCUUUGUGGGUUUCUUCGGGUUCUUCUUUGGGUUUGGGGCCAUUUUGCUGCUUUUGGGGCCAUUUUGUCCCUUUUGUGUCAAUUUCAGUGGGGUUUUGGGGCCAUUUUGUCCCUAUUGGGGCCAUUUUGGUGCUUUUGGGGCCAUUUUGUCCUUUUUGUGUCGAUUUCAGUGGGGAUUUGGGGCCAUUUUGUCCCUUUUGGGGCCAUUUUGGUGCUUUUGGGGCCAUUUUGUCCCUUUUGUGUCAAUUUCAGUGGGGUUUUGGGUCCAUUUUGUCCCUAUUGGGGCCAUUUUGGUGCUUUUGGGGCCAUUUUAUCACCUUUGGGGCCAUUUUGUCCUUUUUGUGUCGAUUUCAGUGGGGUUUUGGGGGCCAUUUUGUCCCUAUUGGGGCCAUUUUGGAGCUUUUGGGGCCAUUUUAUCGCUUUUGGGGCCAUUUUGUCCCUUCUGUGUCGAUUUCAGUGGUGCUUUUGGGGCCAUUUUAUCACUUUUGGGGCCAUUUCAGUGGGGUUUUGGGGCGAUUUUGUCCCUAUUGGGGCCAUUUUGGUGCUUUUGUCCCUAUUGGGGCAGUUUUAUCACCUUUGUGUUGAUUUCAGUGGGGUUUUGGGGUCCAUUUUGGUGCUUUUGGGGUCAUUUCAUCCCCUUUGUGUCAAUUUCAGUGGGGUUUUGGGGCCAUUUUGGUGCUUUUGGGGCCAUUUCAUCCCCUUUGUGUCGAUUUCAGUGGGGUUUUGGGGCCAUUUUGGUGCUUUUGGGGCCAUUUUGUCCUUUUUGUGUCAAUUUCAGUGGGGUUUUGGGGGCCAUUUUGGUGCUUUUGGGGCCAUUUUAUCACUUGUGGGGCCAUUUUGUCCCUUUUGUGUUGAUUUCAGUGGGGUUUUGGGGCCAUUUUGUCCCUUUUACGUCAAUUUCAGUGGGCUUUUGGGGCCAUUUUGGUGCUUUUGGGGCCAUUUUGUCCUUUUUGUGUCGAUUUCAGUGGGGUUUUGGGGUCCAUUUUGGUGCUUUUGGGGCCAUUUUAUCACCUUUGGGGCCAUUUCAGUGGGGUUUUGGGGCCAUUUUAUCACCCUUGGGGUCCAUUUUGGUAAUUUUGUGGCCAUUUUGCCCCUUUUAUGUCAAUUUCAGUGGGGUUUUUGGGGCCAUUUUUGUCCUUUUUGUGUUGAUUUCAGUGGGCUUUUGGGGCCAUUUUGGUGCUUUUGGGGUCAUUUCAUCCCCUUUGUGUCAAUUUCAGUGGGGUUUUGGGGCCAUUUUGGUGCUUUUGGGGCCAUUUCAUCCCCUUUGUGUCGAUUUCAGUGGGUUUUUGGGGCCAUUUUGGUGCUUUUGGGGCCAUUUCAUCCCCUUUGUGUCGAUUUCAGUGGGGUUUUGGGGCCAUUUCGCCCCUUUGCUCUCGAUUUCCAUGGGGUUUCCGGGGCUCUUGUGGUGCCUUUGGGGGUGGUCGCAUCCCGGGGGGUCCGGGGGGUCCGGGGGGGUCGGGGUCGGCGCGGUGACAGCGGAGCAGCCGUGCGGGACCCCGUCCCCCCCCGCAGUACGGCGGCUCCGACAGUUACCGGGUGGCCACCACCGCACAGGACAAAGGGGAGAAGGAAUCCCCCAAAAAGGGGAAGGGGAAGAGGGACCUCGACGACCUCAAGAAGGAGGUGGCCAUGACGGAGCACAAGAUGUCCAUCGAGGAGGUGUGCAGGAAGUACAACACCGACUGCGUGCAGGUGGGACCCCCCCCAAAAAUGGGGUCCUCUGGGGGUGGGGGGGGGGGGGGGGGGCUCUGCUGGGUCCCUCUUCGACCCCCCCUCUGUGGGUUUCCUCCAUGGGGUCUCUGUAUGGGGUCCCUGUGGGUCUCCCUAUGGGGUCUCACCGGGGUGCCCCUCUGUGGGGUCUCCUAUGGGAUCCCCUCCAUGGGGUCCCUG